GUCUGCACCAGAUGUAAAACAGGAAACAUUCAAUCUCCAGUGAUGACUACAUACAAGACAAGCUAUGCUAGGAAAGGAGAGAGGCACAAACAUGUGUUUAGUGUAAAGUUGUCAGUAGGAGGAAUAACACAGGGCUGUGAAUGAGCUCUGUCACUGUGAUCAGACUCCUCCUUUAAAUCCACCAACUUAGUGUUGAUGAAGACUAAACAGAGAUCAGAGUCUUCUUUAUACUCGCUGUAGCUCAGAGUUACUCAACACUGCAGAUAUGACGUCUCUGUUCAUCUCAGUGUUGCUGGCUGCUAUGUGCCUUGAAUGCAGAGCACAAAAAUACACUGUGCGGCAACCAAAAGGAGAUGUGACUGCUGCUGAAGGAGAGGCAGUAACACUUGACUGUCAAUAUAACAGCAGUGUUACAACUAAUUACCUCUUCUGGUACAAACAGGAUGGAAACAACAGCCCCAAAUUCAUCCUGAGCCGCUUUAAACUGGAUGAAGGAAACACACCAGAUGAGUUUAAGGAAAGAUUUUCAUCCACACUGGAUUCCAACUUAAGAUCAGUUCCUCUGAAGAUCCAGAAGCUGCAGCUGUCUGACUCUGCUGUGUACUACUGUGCUCUGAUUGGUCACACUGGGUCCACUCCAUUAGGCUGCAGGCCUGCUGCUUGUCACAGCCUGACAAUACCAGUGAGUGAAUGUUUAAAUAGUGUCGGUAGCAUGAAAUCCUGACUGUUAAGCCUGAUGUGUGAAUUGCAUCAGAUCAGCUGCAAACACAAUGUUGGAUGAUUGACUAUUAAUAGUUCUCACAAUUC